UAAGCUUAACUUAGGAAUGGCAUUCAAAACUAUUUAACUAGAGUUUUGUAGAGGGGGGUAGAAUUCCAUGUGUAGCGGUGAAAUGCGUAGAGAUAUGGAGGAAUACCAGUGGCUAAAGCGACUCCCUGGACAAAAACUGACGCUCAUGUGCGAAAGCGUGGGGAGCAAACAGGAUUAGAUACCCUGGUAGUCCAUGCUGUAAACGAUGUCGAUUUGGAGGUUGUGGUUAUUACUGUGGCUUCCGUAGCUAACGUGUUAAAUCGACCGCCUGGGGAGUACGACCGCAAGGUUAAAACUCAAAUGAAUUGACGGGGGCCCGCACAAGCGGUGGAGCAUGUGGUUUAAUUCGAUGCAACGCGAAAAACCUUACCUACUCUUGACAUCCAGCGAAGCUUUUAGAGAUAAAAGUGUGCCUUUUGGAACGCUGAGACAGGUGCUGCAUGGCUGUCGUCAGCUCGUGUUGUGAAAUGUUGGGUUAAGUCCCGCAACGAGCGCAACCCUUAUCCUUUGUUGCCAGUGAGUAAAGUCGGGGACUCAAAGGAGACUGCCAGUGAUAAAUUGGAGGAAGGUGGGGAUGACGUCAAGUCAUUAUGG
rnacentral:rRNA from 1 species